rnacentral:sRNA from 1 species
UCAUCACCGUCAUCACCCAAAAUAGUCUUUCGGGGAGGUGAGCGCGUACCCGGGAGAUUGAACUCCCGGAGGUGAAUGCAACGAAUUAGAUUCAAACCCUCGGGAAGCAAACCCCGAGGGUUUUUUUGU